GCCGCUGAGGGAGGUGGGUGGGGCUGGGCGGGGACAGGCUCCCGUCCCGGCACACGGGACCGCGAUCGCGGACCGGGACAGCGACCGCCAUCGAGGCCUCGCUCCGAGCAGUGUGGUUGGCUGCUGAGUGCCUGGUGCCUGCGCUUCUGCUAGAACUGGAGGGCAGCGCAGCAGACGCCGUGGGAGCCGUGCAUCGCUGCGGCCUGUGCUUCGUGGCACUGGGGCCUCCGGGAGUGCCAACGCUGGACAAGCCGCUGCAGGCAGCCAGGGCUGCAGGAGCAGCACUAUGUCCACCAUGGUGUACCCAAGGGAGGAGAAACUGGACAAACUGAGCCAAGAGGAGAUAAUUUCCAACACCAAGCUGGUGAUGCAGGGACUGGAGGCACUCAAGAAUGAACACAACUCCAUCCUGCACAGCUUACUGGAGACCAUCAAGUGCCUGAAGAAAGAUGAAGAAGCCAAUCUUGUGCAUGAGAAAUCCAACCUGCUCCGCAAGUCAGUGGAGAUGAUUGAACUGGGGCUUGGAGAAGCUCAGGUGAUGAUGGCAUUGUCCAACCAUCUGAAUGCUGUGGAGUCAGAGAAGCAGAAGCUGCGUGCUCAGGUGCGGAGACUGUGCCAGGAGAACCAGUGGCUGCGUGACGAGCUUGCCAACACCCAGCAGAAGCUGCAGCGCAGUGAACAAACUGUGGCUCAGCUGGAGGAGGAGAAGAAACACCUUGAGUUUAUGAACCAGCUGAAGAAGUAUGAUGAGGAUGUCUCACCUUCGGAGGAGAAGGAGGGUGACUCCACCAAAGACUCUCUGGAUGAUCUGUUCCCGAAUGAGGAGGAGGAGCAUGGUCCUGGAUUGCCCCACCAGCACAGCAGUGCAGUGGCAGCUGCCCAGCAGGGAGGCUAUGAGAUUCCUGCACGCUUGCGCACUCUCCACAACCUUGUCAUCCAGUACGCAUCACAGGGACGCUAUGAAGUGGCUGUGCCGCUCUGCAAGCAAGCGCUGGAGGACCUGGAGAAGACAUCAGGCCAUGAUCACCCUGAUGUGGCUACUAUGCUGAACAUCCUGGCGCUAGUGUACAGGGAUCAGAAUAAGUACAAAGAGGCAGCACACCUCUUGAAUGAUGCGCUUUCCAUCCGUGAGAAGACUCUGGGCAAAGACCACCCAGCGGUGGCAGCGACUCUGAACAAUCUGGCUGUUCUCUAUGGCAAGAGAGGGAAGUACAAAGAAGCAGAGCCACUGUGUAAGCGAGCCCUGGAGAUUCGUGAGAAGGUCCUAGGCAAAGACCAUCCUGAUGUGGCCAAGCAGCUGAACAAUCUAGCCCUGCUGUGCCAGAACCAGGGCAAGUAUGAUGAGGUGGAGUACUAUUACUGCCGGGCCCUGGAGAUCUACGAGAGCUGCCUGGGUCCUGAUGACCCCAAUGUGGCCAAGACCAAGAACAACCUGGCUUCCUGUUACCUGAAGCAAGGCAAAUACAAAGAUGCAGAGGUGCUGUAUAAGGAGAUCCUUACCCGUGCUCACGUGAAGGAGUUUGGCUCUGUGGAUGAUGAACACAAGCCAAUCUGGAUGCAUGCGGAGGAGAGAGAGGAGAUGAGCAAGAGCAAGCACAGAGACAGUGCUCCCUAUGCUGAGUAUGGCGGCUGGUACAAGGCCUGUAAGGUUAGCAGCCCAACUGUGAACACCACUCUGAGGAACCUGGGUGCGCUGUACCGACGCCAGGGCAAGCUAGAAGCAGCUGAGACCUUGGAGGAGUGUGCGGUUCGCUCUCGGCGGCAGGGCAUUGACCCAAUCAACCAGACAAAGGUGGUGGAGAUCCUGAAGGAGGGCGAUGGCAUGGAGAGACGUCGGAGCCUGGGGAGCAGCGUCAAGUACGAGAAUGCCACAGACGGUAGCGAGGAAGUGAGUAUGGGCGUGGAAUGGAGCGGGGCUUAAAUGCCUCCCGAGACUCCCUCUUUCCCCUCCACCGCAAUCACCUGGAUGUUUGUGUUGUAUCUUCCGACUUUUCCUCCACACCAUCCCUCCUUCCUCGGCAAGGACUCCACGCCAGUCCCCCAACCCUCCCGGCGCGCAAGGGCACCGCGACGCCUGCAGAGGAGUGUCUGGCCACGUGGCCCAGCUCCAGCCCCGUGGCCAGCAAGAGCAGGAAGAAUCUGCAAGGAGCUGCCCGCUCCCCCAGGCCAGGGUGACGGGUCACCAUACCCUUGUGUGCCCCCACCCCCAGCCUGCCCUUGCACAUCCCUGGGGACCAGGCCUGCGGGGGAUUGUCUUCACUCCGAGUGUGCCGACUCCACCGUCACUAGACAUCCUCAACCCUCCUAGCUUCUUUCCUCCUUCUCUGCAGAGGCCAGGAUGGAGGCACGAAGAGCGGGGGGGCUGUUUUGGGACAGAGAGGCCUGGCCUUGGCAAGGCUGUCAUAUGCCCAGUUGUUUCCUUCCCCAUAGGCUUAGCUGAUGUUAGUGCCCUGUAGCAAACCUGCGCUGGCCACCGGUGAGCUGGGCUCUCCCUGCAGCACAGGGCAGUCCCUGUCUCGCUAUCCUCUUCCUUCUGAGCUCCGCAUCCCAGGGGCAGCACGUGGAUCUCUCCACAGGGGCACAGGAAUGCAGAGUGGCCCGUAGUUACUGUACAUCCAAGGUGAGGUGAGGGGGUGACUGCCAGGGGCUGUGUGCAUGGAAGAGGGAUCUGCCAGGACAAGCAUGUUUGGUUGGUUACAGCGUCCUGGCCUGGUGCUGUAGCCAAGUUCCUUGCCUGUGGCAUUAAGGGUGAAUCAGCUCCCUGUUGCUCCAGGGUCCCCAGGUGUGACUGCUGGGAGAGGGAGAGGCAGGGGUGAAAUUGUUUGCUGUUCCUUGGAGACAGAGGAAGAGUAGGAAGAAAGCCAAACUUUUCUGCAAGAGGCCAGGCCCCAGGCCAUUAGAAGUGGCCAAGAUGUGGGGAAUGGCCGGUUUGGAGCAGAGUGGCUGGGAGAAGAAGGAGGUGCAAAGGAGGGUGUGAGGAAGGGAAGAGCUUGGGCUUGGGGUGCUCUGAGGACGUGGGGGCAGAUGGGAUAGCUGGAAGGAAGUUUCCACAGGAGAAGGGGCCAGGUUGCUCGUGGAGGAGGGAAAUUCUUGAACUCAGGCCCUGGGCUGCCAGGUGUAAUCUCUGGUGCUGUGCCUCACUGUCUGGCUGUCCCUAGCCAAGUGGGUGGGAAAUCUGUAACCCUGCUACUGCUAGAGGCAUGUGAGGUGUGUGUGUGUCUCAGUGCCUCUGAUGGGACUCCAGGCCUGCACAGGAUCUGGUGCUGUCAGCCACUACUAGGAAAGGGGACGUUUCCCAGUGCCAGACCUCUGCUGCUGUGAGCCUUGCAUCGCACCCUUGGGUGGACACCCUCAUCUCACCUCCUACAGAAAGUGAACCUCCCUGCCCGUCCUAUCUGGGAAGAAAGCUGGGGAGGCUGCAGCCAGUAGGAUAGAGCCCAGAGGCCAGCGCAGGACACCCCCGCACCCCCUUAUUUAUUUAGCUAGAUAGUUUCUCUCUUGCUAGGCAGGUUAUGAUACUAAAUGUGCUUGUGUCUGUCUAGGCCUGGCUUUCCUGUGGUGGUGCAGAGGCCUUGGGGCACACACGUGCUGCUCCCUUGGCAGCUUGUGCUUGCUGAAAGGAGGUUUGUCCUCAGGACCAUGGGGUGUGGAGCCCAGGGCUGAGUGCUCUAGGGCUGUGCCUUCCCAGCCUCUCUCUCCCAGCACUGCUCCAUGCUCCUGGAGAGUGGAUGGCAGUGGCACGCUCCAGCGCAGCAGCUCCCUGGGGAAAAUCCGGGAUGUGAUACGGAGGAGCAGUGAGAUGUUGGUCAAGAAACUGCAGGGCAAUGGCCCCCUGGAGCCCAGGAACACCAG